CCUACGGGAGGCAGCAGUGGGGAAUUUUGGACAAUGGGCGAAAGCCUGAUCCAGCAAUGCCGCGUGAGUGAAGAAGGCCUUCGGGUUGUAAAGCUCUUUUGUCAGGGAAGAAACGGUGGGAGCUAAUAUCUCCUGCUAAUGACGGUACCUGAAGAAUAAGCACCGGCUAACUACGUGCCAGCAGCCGCGGUAAUACGUAGGGUGCAAGCGUUAAUCGGAAUUACUGGGCGUAAAGCGUGCGCAGGCGGUUUUGUAAGUCUGAUGUGAAAUCCCCGGGCUCAACCUGGGAAUUGCAUUGGAGACUGCAAGGCUAGAAUCUGGCAGAGGGGGGUAGAAUUCCACGUGUAGCAGUGAAAUGCGUAGAUAUGUGGAGGAACACCGAUGGCGAAGGCAGCCCCCUGGGUCAAGAUUGACGCUCAUGCACGAAAGCGUGGGGAGCAAACAGGAUUAGAUACCCUGGUAGUCCACGCCCUAAACGAUGUCUACUAGUUGUCGGGUCUUAAUUGACUUGGUAACGCAGCUAACGCGUGAAGUAGACCGCCUGGGGAGUACGGUCGCAAGAUUAAAACGUCAAAGGAAUUGACGG
rnacentral:rRNA from 1 species